GUGACCUCAGCUCAGGCGAGAACACCCACAGAUUUUAAGCAUAUAAUUAAGCAGAGGAAAAAAAACUUACAGGGAUUCCGCUAGUAGUGGCGAGCGAACUGGGAACAACCUAGCAUGAAAAUCGGGUGACAACGUUGCCUGAAUUGUAGUCUAUAGAAGCGUCCUCAGCGGCAGACCUGGGCAUAUUCCCUUGGAAGGGGGCGCCUGAGAGGGUGACAGCCCCGUCGGCCAGGGACCUUGCCGCAUCACGAGGCGUUGUCGGCGAGUCGGAUUGCUUGGGAAUGCAGCCCUAAUUGGGUGGUAAAUUCUGUCCAAGGCUAAAUACAGGCGAGAGACUGAUAGUGAACAAGUAUCACGAGGGAAAGAUGAAAAGGACUUUGAAAAGAGAGUUAAAGAGUGCUUGAAAUUGCCAGGAGGGAAGCAGAUGGAGGUUGUCAAUGCAUCUCGGUCGGAUGUGGAACGGCUCAGGCUGGUCUGCCACUCGACUUGAGGUGCAAACCAACACGGGCUGCUGCAUCAUCACAAGCGUGGGUGGAUUGCUGCUUGUCAGUUUACUGCUGUAGUGGUCGAGGAAUGAAGCGUGCACCCUUGUCGCAGGCUGUGUGCACCUGCACGCUCGUGGUGUUGGUCGGUGGGCUUUCCAUUCGACCCGUCUUGAAACACAGACCAAGGAGUCUAACAUGUGUGCGAGUCGACGGGUUUGAAAACUUGCGAGGCGCAAGGAAGUUGACGGGCGAGAUCCCCUCUCUUGGGUGGGUGCAUCGUCGACCGACCUUGAGCUUAUGUGAAGGGUUCGAGUGCAAGCACACCUGUUGGGACCCAAAAGAUGGUGAACUAUGCCUGAGCAAGGUGAAGCUAGAGGAAACUCUGGCGGAGGCUUGUAGCGAUACUGACGUGCAAAUCGUUCGUCUGACUUGGGUAUAGGGGUGAAAGACUAAUCGAACCAUCUAGUAGUUGGUUUCCUCAGGUAAAGCAAAUGAUUAGAGGCAUUAGGGGCGUAACGCCCUCGACCUAUUCUCAAACUUUAAAUAGGUAAGAGGGUGCGAUUGCUCCAUUGAGCCGCGCCGUGGAAUGGAGAGCUCCAAGUGGGCCAUUUUUGGUAAGAAGAACUGGUGAUGCGAGAUGAACCAAAAGUUUAGUUACGGUGCCAAAUUGCAUGCUAACCUACAUCACACAAAGGGUGUUGGUUGAUUAAGACAGCAGGACGAUGGUCAUGGAAGUCGAAAUCCGCUAAGGAGUGUGUAACAACUCACCUGCCGAAUCAACUAGCCCUGAAAAUGGAUGGCGCUGAAGCGUGCAACCUAUACUCGACUAUUGGAGCAAUUUCCUCGCUCCGAUGAGUAGGAGGACGCGGGGGUCAUUGAGAAACCUUGGGUGUGAGCUUGGGUGGAUCGGCCCACAGUGCAGAUCUUGGUGGUAGUAGAAAAUAUUCAAAUGAGAACUUUGAAGACUGAAGUGGGGAAAGGUUCCAUGUGAACAUCACUUGGACAUGGGUUAAUCGAUCCUAAGAGAUGGGGAAGCCUUGUAUCAAGGGUGCACUCUGCACAAGCAUCGAAAGGGAAUCGGGUUAAUAUUCCCGAACCGGGACAUGGCGGCGAGCGGAAACUUUAGGAAAUCUGGAGACGUCGUCGGGGGCCCUUGGAAGAGUUAUCUUUUCUUUUUAAUAGCUUGCCCACCCUGGAAUCAGUUCACCCGGAGAUAGGGUCCAACGGCUGGAAGAGAACCGCACGUCUUGCGGUGUCCGCUGCGCCCUUGGUGGCCCUUGAAAAUCUGAGGACCAGGUACCGUUCAUGCCUGAUCGUACUCAUAACCACAUCAGGUCUCCAAGGUGAACAACCUCUCGUCAAUAGAACAAUGUAGGUAAGGGAAGUCGGAAAAACAGAUCCGUAACUUCGGGAAAAGGAUUGGCUCUGAGGGCUGGGCCUAGGGGUCUACACCCUCAACUCAUGGGCUGUUGGCAGUCUGCCUGAGCUACUCUCGCGGCGAGGGCGGGCAGUCGCGUGCCGAUUGGGGUACGAGCGUAGAAUGCCCCCUACCGGGGGAUUUUCCCUAAGCGUCGAACAGUCGACUCAAAACUGGUAUGGACAAGGGGAAUCCGACUCUUUAAUUAAAACAAAGCAUUGCGAUGGUCCCUACGGAUGAUGACACAAAGUGAUUUCUGCCCAGUGCUCUAAAUGUCAAAGUGAAGGAAUUCAACCAAGCGCAGGUAAACGGUGGGAGUAACUAUGACUCUCUUAAGGUAGCCAAAUGCCUCGUCAUAUAAUUAGUGAUGUGCUUGAAUGGAUUAACGAGAUUCCCACUAUCCUAUCUACUAUCUAGCAGAACCACAGCCAAGGGAAUAGGCUUGGCAGAAUCAGCAAGGAAAGAAGACCCUGUUGAGCUUGACUCUAGUUUGACUUUGUGAAAUGACUUGAGAGGUGUAGAAUAAGUGGGAGCCGUUUUCGGUGCAAGUGAAAUACCACUACUUUUAACGUUAUUUUACUUAUUCCGUGGGGCGAAGAUGGGGCACUGCCCCUGUUUUUGGCCUUAAGGCAUGUUUCGGCAGGUCAAUCCGGGCGGAAGACAUUGUCAGGUGGGGAGUUUGGCUGGGGCGGUACAUCUGUUGAAAGAUAAUGCAGGUGUCCUAAGAUGAGCUCAACGAGAACACAAAUCUCGUGUGGAACAAAAGGGUAAAAGAUCAUUUGAUUUUGAUUUUCAGUACGAAUACAAACCGUGAAAGCGUGGCUUAUCGAUCGUUUAGAUUUUCGGAAUUUGAAGCUAGAGGUGUUAGAAAAAAUACCACAGGGAUAACUGUCUUGUGGCAGCCAAGCAUUUAUAGCGACGUUGCUUUUUGAUCCUUUGAUGUCGGCUCUUCCUAUCAUUGUGAAGCAGAAUUCACCAAGUUUUGGAUUGUUCACCCACCAAUAGGGAACGUGAGUUGGGUUUAGACCGUCGUGAGACAGGUUAGUUUUACCCUACUGAUGAACCACAGCACAAUAGUAAUUCAACUUAGUAUGAGACGAACCGUUGAUUCACACAAUUGGUCAUCGCGUUUGGUUGAAAAGCCAGUGGCGCGAAGCUAUCGUGUGUUGGAUUAUAACUAAACACCUCUAAGUCAGAAUCCAUGCUAGAAGUGGUGCAUGUCACUCUUCGACUGUAUCUCGACCUGCAUUAGGGGCAUCGCUUUGUCACCCCCAGGGGCCCAUGUCAUUUGCAAACCGUGACCGUGAAGCAUCUCGGUCGGGGCAACUUUGAAGUUCAAUUCCAAAGUGUCAUUGA
rnacentral:rRNA from 1 species